AAAUCAGAAAUGAGCUAUAAAUAAGGAGGGGGGGCUUUCUUUUCCACUACUUCUCCUUUCUUCGUCAAACACGUUAAAAACGUCACUUGUUAUUUUUGACUAAAACCAACGCGACUCAAAAAGGGGGGGAAAAGGAAAAAGCUUGGUCCGACGAUGUUUUUGUUCCGGGUGGCUCAAAUUGAUGGUUCCGAGCACACUCGUCAUCCAGCCUCGUCCAGCACGUAACAGCUAGUGCCGUGUGAUACUGCAAAAUACCAAGCAAAUACAGGGCCAGAAUAGCUAGGUUUCAUUUGACGUAGACGUGACGUCGACGUAAAGCGCGAAAUUUGACUGGCGGUCGGAAGUGAAAAAGAUAAGCGCAAAAUCACAGACAGACAGUACGCAAAAUGCCUAUGUCCUGUUGUGUUUACGGAUGCUCCAGUAGGUCGACCAGAGAAACCGAUAAACGGUAUUUUAGGGUACCAAAAAUAGCCCAACGAAGAGGAGAAAAAUGGAAAAUUCUAACCGAAAAACGUAGGAAAAAAUGGAUUUUAAAUUUACGUUUACAGUCGGGAGGAGCAGAGUCUGCCAAUGCCCGUGUCUGCAGCGACCACUUCGUCAGAGGCUGCCCAAGUGCUUUGGAUGACGAAGAGUCGGAGGACUGGGCUCCGACGGUCAAUCUCGGCUACGAACGAAAACCCAGAUCGGAAUCAGUUCUCAAACGAGAGAAAAGAAUGAAGCUUAAGGCAGAACAGCAUCGAUGUGCAGAGGCGAUUUUGGAUAUGCAACAGACGGCUGAGAGCCCGGAUUUGAGCCUAGUGACAGUGGAGAACCCCGAACUGCAGCUUCCAGCUGAGAAUCCACAACCAGAAGACUUCAGUGUGAAUGAGACAUUCACUUAUCCAGGCUGUGCGGCUGCUGGAUGCCAGACAGAGCUGACGAUGGAUGACAUCGAGAAGAUGGAGGAUGUUUUGAGACAGAACACAGCAGAGCUGGUUGAUCUUCGGAGCAAGGCUCUGGACACACAGUUCAGCCAGGAGGCUUUUGAAAAAAAUGAAGACAAGACAAAGUUCUACACAGGGCUCCCCAACUUCUUAGUUUUAAGAAAGUGA
rnacentral:lncRNA from 1 species